GUGCUCGCUUAGGCAGCACAUAUACUAAAAUUGGAACGAUGCAGAGAAGAUUAGCAUGGCCCCUGCACAAGGAUGACACACAAAUUCGUGAAGUGUUCCAUAAUUUU
ensembl:snRNA U6 U6 spliceosomal RNA